AGUGGGACCCGACUUAGCAACUAAAUAAUAACGUUCUGUAUUUCAAUGAAGCUUCCCAGAUGAUUCUUAGGUACUUGGGAGAGCGUGGUCUUAAAAAACAGUUUUAAAACUAUGGCAGUGGUAGAAUCAGACUUUGAACUCUUCUCACUCUUAGUGCUUUCUAAUAUGCUACAGGUUGAAAUACUCGGUGAUUACUUUGGCCUGUUAAAUGACACUUCCUCGAAUGAGCUGGACUAAUACUUUCCCAGAUUAACUUCCGAUUCCAGAAUGUUACUUUUACAUUAAUGGAUGUCUUCAACUAUUGUCCUUUCCGGAACUCUGAUUUCUGCCCAUAUGUAACUCUAACCCAAUUUUGCUGCCAGGCUAUUCAGGUUUUCUUAGGUCAAAAAUCCAAAAUUUCUUUUAAGUUUUAAAAAAACAGAGAGACUGGUUUUCCCCCAAGGCAACAAAACCUCAAUAUCAUCAUUUAAAAAAUAUAGUUCUCAGAGGAAUUAAAUGAAAAUAACAUAUGGAAAGAGCCUGAUGCAGAACUGAAGGAAGCCUGCAGGAAGCGGUGAUCCCUCUGCUGGCCAACUAAUCUUGUCCAAGUCUGCACUUGUUCACCAAUAUCACCUUGGGGAACAGCACUACCCAGGUUCAUGGGUUUCUUCCUCAGUGGAGGUCAGCCAGGGAGUUACAGGGCUGCUACUUAAUCGUUCCCGUUCUUAACCUUCUUUUCCUCUUGCGGGCAGAGUCUGGGGACUCUCAGUAAACCCCUUGACAGGAAAGCAGGCAGGUGGGUAGCACCCCAUGCUGGCCCCUCCGCUUUUUAGCCCUGUUGCCUCUAAAGGAAAACCUCACACAGCCCACGACUUGUGUUUUUCCCGCUUCACCGCAGUGGAAGGCAGAGAACGCCACUGGGAGACAAUCCGCGGUACCAAAGAAACCUGCCUCUUUUCUGCUACGGCUCUCUCCCAGUCCACAGCCUGAAGGUAGGGGGUGCUUUGGCUGUGCUGUUCAUUGCUACCACUUUCACGGUUUACUUUUUAAAUCGAGGGGUGCUGCCUAGAGGGACUGGUGGCUUUAGACGACACACCAAUGCUGACACUUGAGAUCCUGGGGCCAAAAGUCUGGAGGUUUCAGGAUAAGGACGGCACGACUCAGGAUGAGAAGAGAAAGCAGAGAUAGGACGGGAGAGUCUGGGGGUUGGGACAGGUCUGAAAGGGCAAAAGGGUGAGAAAAGAGCGUUUGCAAGCGACAGGUGAAAUGAGCACUCUGGGAUUUGACUUUCGACACGCCAAGGCGCCCUCCCCCCACCCACGAGACAUCAAAGAUGGCGCCAGGCCCGCGCGGCUGGAGGUCACCGGCACGCGGAAGGGGCAGCCCGAACGCGCGGGGAUACGGGGACAAGGGAGGGCGUGAGGACCCAGAUGGGAGCACGCGAGCGAUCUCCGGGACCUCAUUUCUGCCUAGCAACAUCACAACCAAUCAAGAUGCAAUUAGGCCUGGCAGUUCGGCUCAUCCUUCACUGGGAUUGGCUGCUGGCGGUGAGCACAUCCUGAGUUUUCAUUGGCUGAUGGCCACCUGUAUGGAAAUAAGAAUGACAGGGGACUCUGCGACGUGGACCUGUGGCUUACUGCACUGAAACCUGCAAGCUCAGAGCCAGAACUCCUGGGCUUUUUUUCUGCCUUCUCUCCCUGUUCUUCCCCAAAGAGAUAUCUCAAACUUUUCCCUCAGCGCCUCUGUCUGAGGCCCAGUCGAAAAGAAAUUCGCAAAAAAUAAGGCGAAUUUAUAUGCUUUUUUUGCAUUUUCUUUGCCUUCUCUCGGUUCCGUAUCAAGAUUUUGCCCCUUCCGUCCAAUGCUAGGACAGUUCUUCAUCCUUUCUCUCUUCCUUGUCCAUCCAAGGAGCGGCUUUCCUCCGUGUGGAGUCCCUUGGGCCCUACCCCCUGUUGCCUCAAACCCUCCCUUCGGGCUCAGCUCUACCAAAUUCCCAAUUGCCCCCUUCCUCCCUCUCAGGAUCCAGGCGCCUCGCACAACGAUCUAAAGUCCAGUUUAGAAGGGAGUUAGAGGGGGAGAGGACUCCCCCACCUCCCCCCCAAAAAACCUCCACCCUCGCUCCCCAUCCAUUUUCUCCGAGGGAGCCGAGUUUGACAGCGAAUUCAUUCCGAGAGGGGAGGGUGAUUUAUUCUUCAAAUAUACCGACAAGUGCGGGCAUGAUGGAGCCCAUUAAAAUGUUGGGAGAUUGUUUUUAUGAUUGAAGUCUGUAUUACUCCAACCAUAAAGAAAGAGAGCAAGGAGUCAUUAGCAUUUUCA